GACAGAGGUUGCAAGCGUUGUUCGGAAUUACUGGGCAUAAAGCGCACGUAGGCGGUCCGCUAAGUCAUGUGUGAAAUCCCCCGGCUCAACCGGAGAACUGCCUCGGAUACUGGGCGUCUCGAGUGUGGUAGGGGUAUGCGGAACUAUCGGUGGAGCGGUGAAAUGCGUUGAUAUCGAUAGGAACUCCGGUGGCGAAGGCGGCAUACUGGACCACCACUGACGCUGAUGCGCGAAAGCCAGGGGAGCAAACGGG
rnacentral:rRNA from 1 species